GCCGGGAUGACAGAGCGGCUAAAUGUGCCAGCCUGGAAAGCUGGUGGCGCUUCGGUGCCACACGAGUUCGAAUCUCGUUCCCGGCG
rnacentral:tRNA from 1 species